AGAGGGGGCAAGCGUUGUUCGGAAUUACUGGGCGUAAAGGGCGCGUAGGCGGCCUUCUAAGUCGAACGUGAAAUCCCUGGGCUUAACCCAGGAACUGCGUCCGAGACUGGAAGGCUCGAAUCUGGGAGAGGGAUGUGGAAUUCCAGGUGUAGCGGUGAAAUGCGUAGAUAUCUGGAGGAACAUCGGUGGCGAAGGCGGCAUCCUGGACCGGUAUUGACGCUGAGGCGCGAAAGCUAGGGUAGCAAACGGGAUUAGAUACCCCGGUAGUCCUAGCCGUAAACGAUGGGCACUAGGUGUUGGAGGUAUCGACCCCUCCAGUGCCGCAGCUAACGCAUUAAGUGCCCCGCCUGGGGAGUACGGUCGCAAGACUA
rnacentral:rRNA from 1 species